AUGAUUUGUUCACACUUGCAUGUUUUUUUUUACGUAACAAUAUUAUUUAUGUCAGUAAUUUAAAUAUCAAUUAUAAUAAACUUAUACAUAUUUUAAACAAAUCUCUCCAAUUGUGAUUUGUCCUAGGCCCAUCAAUUUGAAAUUAAUUGGCAAUAAUCAAACCAUUCUAAAAACAAUUAAAAGUAAGUUCAUUAUGCAGUUCAAGUAAGAGCAAUGUCAAUAAAGUUAAAUGUUAUGCAUGAAAACCAAGUCUAUAUACCAAUCAUUUGGUCUGUAAGUCUAUAAAUUGUGGUAAGGUGACAUCUUUUCUUUUUGUCCAAGAUAAGAUAUUCAGUUUGCAAUGAUAUAAAUCAGGGACAAUUUAAGACAUUUCUGUUGAUGAUACAUUUUCUAACCAUCGUCUAAUCAAUUAAUCGACUCAUUGUUUCACCACUAGGGACUCGCGGUGAUACUACAGUUGGUAUUAUUGCUGCUGUUUCUCUCUUUGGGACAUGUUUCUGCGGUUGCUUGAAGAAAUGCUGUGGGGAGAGCUCCUCCAGAGAGGACGAUUCUGAGACUGAAGCGGCUGCUGCAUCUGCACCUGAGUAUGAGGCUGUUGGACCGAGGUCAGAUGAAUUGAGUCAGCCCUCUGGGACACACUACCCCGCUCAGCCUUCUUAUACUCCGACUGGUCCACUGGUACACGAUCCUACUGGCGAUGCGCCACCUUCUUAUUCUGAGGUUGUGGCUUCAGCAGAGCAGGCAGUCGUUCCAUCUGCCCCCGUCUACUCAGACGUUGAGCCGCAGUUUGAACUCAAGGGGAUGACCUUUCCCUCAGACUCAGCCAAUGUUUAUACCUCAGACAAACUCAACUUCCUCUGAAGGCCUUAAUUUUGAUGGGUAUCCUUGUUGUAAUAUUUGGUGCUUGCAUUAUACAUUCUAGUGUGGAUUAUGUAUGAUGAGUUGUAGAUGUUACAUUGAUAUAUACUGUAGCUAUUUCAGAAACAUGUUCAUUUACUCAGGCAAGUCACACACAUUUCUAAAUGUUUUAAAGAGAGUGAUUGUUUGACAUCUACCAAAAAUAUGAAAUGCACCAGUUGCCUUUUCGCCCUGCAUGUAUCCACUGGAGAGUGGCAACAACGCCUUAACACCGCUGCACUGCGGUCAGUUAACGUAAUUGUGUCAAUACAUUUUCUGUUAUUACACUUUUACUUUUACACACAAGCAGUAAACUGGCUACAGUUGCAAUGUGCCUAUUUUGUAUGUGUCUCCAUUUUAUCAGUCACUCUCACAUGUACACUUCCCUCUUUUUGGAUUGAUUAUUUGAUUAUUUAUUUAAGUAGAUGUUUUUAAUAUAUUUGUUUUAAUGUUUUGGAACUCAUGUUAGAGUUUAUGACUGUUGUGUAAAUAAGGAGUUUCGUUGGUUUUCUGUUGAAACACUAACAAACCUUUAUCAUUUUUAUUAGUCAGAUAAAACAGCAAAGGAGAAGGGAUUGCAGCCAUUUUCUCUACACAGUUUGUGUAUAAUGACAUUGACCUGAGUGAAUUUACAUCGUUUGAAUAUCUUGCUCUUGAGCUCAAAGCAGAAUUAUUAGUAUUCACUAUUACAUUAUAUCGGCCACCAAGAUAUUCAUCACUAUUUCUACAGGAAUUCUGAGAGCUGAUCUCACUUAGUAUCAAUAGACAUGAUCGAUUAAUCCUGAAUGGAGACCUGAAUAUUCAUAUUAAUAAAAAGAAUGACUCCAAAGCUGUGGAGCUUGUGAAUUUACUGAACAGCUUUGAACUCACCUAACAUGUAAAUAAAGCCACUCAUUAGCAUGGUAACACUCUAGACUUAGUAACAACAACAGGUUUAAACAUUGAUAGUGUUUCAGUAUUACCUCUUUCUGACCAUCACUGUGUGUUUUUUGAUGCCAACUUAACCUUAACAAAGACUAAAAGGGAAUUUUUGGUUCAAAAGAGAUUCCUAGAUGACAAAGCUGAAAUAAUAUUUUCUAAUGUUAUGAGAUCAUUUGACCCAUUCAGUGAAGACUGCUCUUUAAAUGACAUGGUUGAAUAUUUUAACAACACCUUGUCAUCUGCUUUAAAACUGCUGCUCCACUAAAGGUUAAAAAGGGGUCGACCGACAGAAUCUCCCCAUUGUUAAACAAUAACAGUGUUAAUGAGAUCGAGAGAAUCUGUUGGGCUGCUGAAAGAAAAUGGAGACUCACAGUUCACUUUAAUAUACAAGAAGCCAUGGGUGCUUAUAACAAAGCAAUACAUCCGGCAAAAGAAGAUUACUUUUCCAAGAUUAUUACAAAGGAUGCUGGGAACUCACCUACUCAACACUGCCCCCGAUCCCCCACAGUUCUCUGCAUCAAAAUGUGAAGAACUUGCAUUGUUCUUCCAUAACAAAAUAACCUCAAUUAGAGACAGUAUUGCUGCUGAUGUGAACACAGAUGAUCUCAUUAAAUCCUGUAAAAAUGAUGCAACCAUGGGAAAAUUCACCUGUAUUACACUAACUGAGCUUUGCAAGACUGUCACUGAAUGUAACUCCUCCUCCUCAUGUAUUGACCCUGUACCUACAGCUUUUUAAAAGUGGAUGUUCGAUAGUAUUUCAAGUUAUGUCCUGAUACAGGCCUGAAAUUAUUUUUUGCACUCUGUUUUGCAUUUAUGCACUGCUACACUUCUUUUAAAAUGUUGAAUUUUACUUGAUUUCAUGCUCUAUAUGUAUACUAUUUAUAAACUUUUAAAAAAUAUAUUAUUAUAGCUUUU